UUAAGUUCAGCGGGUAUUCCUACCUGAUCUGAGGUCGACCUUGUAAAAGUUGGGGGGUUUUACGGCGGGCCGCACCGCUCUCCGCCUGCGAGGUGGUUUUAGUACUACGCAGGGGAGGCUACAGCGUGGUCGCCACUGGAUUUAGGGGACGGCCGCCCAGUAAAGGGUGUGGCCGAUCCCCAACACCGCCCCCGACAGAA
rnacentral:misc_RNA from 1 species